AGUCGCGGGCGCCUGCGCAGUGGGUAGGGCCGCGUUCGCCUCGCCGCUGAGGGAGUAACGCCGAGUGGGCCGGAGCGGGGUUCUUGGCUGCUCUGCCCCGUCGGCCGCACCAUGGCGGAGGAGGAGCUGGAGGCUCUGCGGAAGCAGAGGCUGGCGGAGCUGCAGGCCAAGCACGGGGAUCCUGGCGAUGCAGCACAACAGGAAGCAAAGCACAGAGAAGCAGAAAUGAGAAACAGUAUCUUAGCCCAAGUUCUGGAUCAGUCAGCCCGGGCCCGGUUAAGUAACUUAGCACUUGUAAAACCCGAAAAAACUAAAGGAGUAGAGAAUUACCUUAUACAGAUGGCAAGAUAUGGACAACUAAAUGGGAAGACUGUCCUUCAGGAUGCAGAUGCACCCCGUGUGCACUGGGAAGCCCUCUGUUGCCACCACAGCCUGCACGGAUCAGUCCUACCCUGAACCCGUUACUCUGAGAAAGGUAACAGAACAAGGUUUAAUAGAAAUCCUUGAAAAAGUAAGCCAACAAACAGAAAAGAAAACCACAGUUAAAUUCAACAGAAGAAAAGUAAUGGACUCUGAUGAAGAUGACGAUUAUUGAAUUUAAGAUGCAUAGACUGGAACUUAAUGGAACAAUUCCAGGACAGAUAAUACUUGGCAGUUAAGAUCUGAUUGAAUGUUCACUUUGUUUAUUGUUUAUAUACCUUUAGAAAAAUAAACUUGUGUAAAAUAAAACAAUUUGGGCAAAGUCA